CCAGUAACGGCGAGUGAAGCGGCAACAGCUCAAAUUUGAAAUCUGGCCCCCGGGUCCGAGUUGUAAUUUGUAGAGGAUGCUUUUGGCGCGGUGCCUUCCGAGUUCCCUGGAACGGGACGCCAUAGAGGGUGAGAGCCCCGUCUGGUCGGACACCAAGCCUCUGUAAAGCUCCUUCGACGAGUCGAGUAGUUUGGGAAUGCUGCUCUAAAUGGGAGGUAUAUGUCUUCUAAAGCUAAAUACCGGCCAGAGACCGAUAGCGCACAAGUAGAGUGAUCGAAAGAUGAAAAGCACUUUGAAAAGAGAGUUAAAAAGUACGUGAAAUUGUUGAAAGGGAAGCGCUCAUGACCAGACGUGGGCCUGUCGGAUCAUCCUGGGUUCUCCCGGGUGCACUCCUUCAGUCCCAGGCCAGCAUCAGUUCGCCGCGGGGGACAAAGGCUUCGGGAAUGUGGCUCCCCUCGGGGAGUGUUAUAGCCCGUUGCGUAAUACCCUGCGGCGGACUGAGGACCGCGCAUCUGCAAGGAU
rnacentral:rRNA from 1 species